rnacentral:rRNA from 1 species
AGUCUGCAACCCGACUCCACGAAGUUGGAUUCGCUAGUAAUCGCGCAUCAGCCAUGGCGCGGUGAAUACGUUCCCGGGCCUUGUACACACCGCCCGUCAAGCCAUGGGAGCCGGGGGCGCCUGAAGUCCGGGACCGCGAGGACCGGCCUAGGGCGAAACUGGUAACUGGGGCUAAGUCGUAACAAGGUACC